CACCGCAGAAUGAUGGUCAACAAGCCGUCAGGGGAGUUUCUUUUCAUGUCACACUGAAACAAAUCUAAUUGUGUGAUUGUUCGCAUUAUAUGACUUGACAAGGCAAUAAAGAACAAAGCUGAAAUGCUUGUAAUUCUCAUCUGGGAGACGAAGGCUGGAACCAGGUAGCGCCACAACUGUAGCGCAUGACCUCUCUGGGGACCAUGAAGUAGGCACCUGCACCAGUUCUGUCAUACCAACAUCCUGACUGCCGGUACAUGAGGGAUCUGCUGCUU
rnacentral:lncRNA from 1 species